rnacentral:rRNA from 1 species
GACGAACCGUGCGAACGUUGUUCGGAUUCAUUGGGCGUAAAGGGUGCGUAGGCGGCGCGGUAAGUCGGGUGUGAAAUCUUGGAGCUUAACUCCGAAACUGCAUUCGAUACUGCCGUGCUUGAGGACUGGAGAGGAGACUGGAACUUUACGGUGUAGCGGUGAAAUGCGUAGAUAUCGUAAGGAAGACCAGUGGCGAAGGCGGGUCUCUGGACAGUUCCUGACGCUGAGGCACGAAGGCCAGGGGAGCAAACGGG